CUAGGAGAGAACUGGCUAAUUUGGGGAUUUUCUUCCUUGUUUAAAAUUCUCGGCACAAGCAGUGAUGUGGCAAUGUACCAUCGUGUGUUGAUGAUGCAUCGGUGUCUCAUAAUUAUUCAUGAGCCUUUGUGUUUUUAUCCUGUGGGAAGAAGCGUUCUCUUAACGAUUCAUGACGGCACAUGGAGCUUUCCUACAGAUGUAGUGGGAAAGCUAUGAGAAUUGGAGAAAGGUGGACUUCGGAUUUGCUCGUGAAAGCAGUUUGUGUCUACGCAACGAUGAGGUACUCGGUCCCGAGGACUUUUCCAUCCCUUCAAAUGAGUCGUGUGCGAGUCCUUCAGUCGUCCUCGGUGUGAAAAGACGGAUCUGAACAUCGUAUCGACGCUCCUGGAAAAGGGCUCAAAUAUGCAGAAGAUGCUGGAAAAGUAAACCAAGUAACAUCAUGACUCUAAACACAGUAAUCAAUUGCAUGUAUUCCAUUACAGUCCACCACUGAAUCUCUGAAAUCAUGGCUCUGCGUAGAGAAAUGAACGCUCAGAUGUUUUUUUUUUUUUUGUUGUUUUUUUGUCGCAUGUUAAUGUUGAAGCAGGGUUCGAUUUUAGCUCCCAUCUCAUCUCACACCCUGCCGUCACUGUCUGAUUCGCUGACGCGCAGAAAGAACUCGGGAAGUAGCACAGAAGCAGAAUUCCCAAAGACAAAAACAGGCUUGUCUAUUAAAGCUUUACGUCUA